rnacentral:rRNA from 1 species
AGAGUUUGAUCCUGGCUCAGGACGAACGCUGGCGGCGUGCUUAACACAUGCAAGUCGAGCGGAAAGGCCCUUCGGGGUACUCGAGCGGCGAACGGGUGAGUAACACGUGAGCAACCUGCCCUCAGCUCUGGGAUAGCUCCCGGAAACGGGAAUUAAUACCGGAUAUGACCCCAACCGACAUCGGUCAGGGUGGAAAGGAUUCCGGCUGAGGAUGGACUCGCGGCCUAUCAGCUAGUUGGUGGGGUAACGGCCCACCAAGGCGACGACGGGUAGCCGGCCUGAGAGGGCGACCGGCCACACUGGGACUGAGACACGGCCCAGACUCCUGCGGGAGGCAGCAGUGGGGAAUAUUGCGCAAUGGGCGAAAGCCUGACGCAGCGACGCCGCGUGGGGGAUGAAGGCCUUCGGGUUGUAAACCCCUUUCAGCAGGGACGAAGCGAGAGUGACGGUACCUGCAGAAGAAGCGCCGGCUAACUACGUGCCAGCAGCCGCGGUAACACGUAGGGCGCAAGCGUUGUCCGGAAUUAUUGGGCGUAAAGAGCUCGUAGGCGGUCUGUUGCGUCCGCUGUGAAAACCCGGGGCUUAACCCUGGGCUGGCAGUGGAUACGGACAGACUAGAGGUAGGUAGGGGAGAAUGGAAUUCCCGGUGUAGCGGUGAAAUGCGCAGAUAUCGGGAGGAACACCGGUGGCGAAGGCGGUUCUCUGGGCCUUACCUGACGCUGAGGAGCGAAAGCGUGGGGAGCGAACAGG